UGGGGAAUUGUUCACAAUGGGCGCAAGCCUGAUGACGCAACGCCGCGUGGGGGAUGAAGGUCUUCGGAUCGUAAACCCCUGUCGAAUGGGACGAAAGACUCGCGAGUGAAUACUUCGCGAGAGUGACGGUACCGUUAAAGGAAGCCACGGCUAACUCUGUGCCAGCAGCCGCGGUAAUACGGAGGGAGCUAGCGUUGUUCGGAAUUACUGGGCGUAAAGCGUACGUAGGCGGUGACUCAAGUCAGAGGUGAAAGCCUGGAGCUCAACUCCAGAACUGCCUUUGAAACUAGGUCGCUAGAAUCACGGAGAGGUGAGUGGAAUUCCGAGUGUAGAGGUGAAAUUCGUAGAUAUUCGGAAGAACACCAGUGGCGAAGGCGGCUCACUGGACGUGUAUUGACGCUGAGGUACGAAAGCGUGGGGAGCAAACAGGAUUAGAUACCCCUGUAGUCCCUGAGCGGGCUGGCAAGGCGCAU
rnacentral:rRNA from 1 species